GACGAACGCUGGCGGCGUGCUUAACACAUGCGAGUCGAACGGAAAGGCCCUGCUUUUGUGGGGUGCUCGAGUGGCGAACGGGUGAGUAACACGUGAGUAACCUGCCCUUGACUUUGGGAUAACUUCAGGAAACUGGGGCUAAUACCGGAUAGGAGCUCCUGCUGCAUGGUGGGGGUUGGAAAGUUUCGGCGGUUGGGGAUGGACUCGCGGCUUAUCAGCUUGUUGGUGGGGUAGUGGCUUACCAAGGCUUUGACGGGUAGCCGGCCUGAGAGGGUGACCGGCCACAUUGGGCCUGAGAUACGGCCCAGACUCCUACGGGAGGCAGCAGUGGGGAAUAUUGCACAAUGGGCGGAGGCCUGAUGCAGCAACGCCGCGUGCGGGAUGACGGCCUUCGGGUUGUAAACCGCUUUCGCCUGUGACGAAGCGUGAGUGACGGUAAUGGGGAAAGAAGCACCGGCUAACUACGU
rnacentral:rRNA from 1 species